rnacentral:rRNA from 1 species
GACGAACGCUGGCGGCGCGCUUAACACAUGCAAGUCGAACGGAAAGGCCCUGCUUUUGUGGGGUGCUCGAGUGGCGAACGGGUGAGUAACAUGUGAGUAACCUGCCCUUGACUUUGGGAUAACUUCAGGAAACUGGGGCUAAUACCGGAUAGGAGCUCCUGCUGCAUGGUGGGGGUUGGAAAGUUUCGGCGGUUGGGGAUGGACUCGCGGCUUAUCAGCCUGUUGGUGGGGUAGUGGCUUACCAAGGCUUUGACGGGUAGCCGGCCUGAGAGGGUGACCGGCCACAUUGGGACUGAGAUACGGCCCAGAAUCCUACGGGAGGCAGCAGUGGGGAAUAUUGCACAAUGGGCGGAAGCCUGAUGCAGCAACGCCGCGUGCGGGAUGACGGCCUUCGGGUUGUAACCCGCUUUCGCCUGUGACGAAGCGUGAGUGACGGUAAUGGGUAAAGAAGCACCGGCUAACUACGUG